GACGAACGCUGGCGGCGUGCUUAACACAUGCAAGUCGAGCGGUAAGGCCCUUUCGGGGGUACACGAGCGGCGAACGGGUGAGUAACACGUGGGUGACCUGCCCUCAGCUCUGGGAUAAGCCCGGGAAACUGGGUCUAAUACCGGAUAUGACUCCAUGACGCAUGUUGUGGGGUGGAAAGCCUUGUGCGGCUGAGGAUGGGCCCGCGGCCUAUCAGCUUGUUGGUGGGGUGAUGGCCUACCAAGGCGACGACGGGUAGCCGGCCUGAGAGGGCGACCGGCCACACUGGGGCUGAGAUACGGCCCAGACUCCUACGGGAGGCAGCAGUGGGGAAUCUUGCGCAAUGGGCGAAAGCCUGACGCAGCGACGCCGCGUGA
rnacentral:rRNA from 1 species